rnacentral:lncRNA from 1 species
AUGACUCCCCACUGCCCCUGCAGCCUGGCUGCCCCAGGGCUCUGCUCAGAGCACAGCCUAGGGGCAAGCCCCGUGUUCAGCCUGCGGCUUGUAGCAAAUGUGGGAAUUGUUUGGAAUACAGCUUUAAAGCCAAUGUCUGCCUCCGUUUUAGUUGCCUGGCUACCCAGCGGGUACACAAGGGUCAAUGCUGCACUUGGCCUAUGCUGGCUGAUGAACCAGCCCCACCUCCCUAAGGGGCCCAGAGACAAUGGCAGCCCCCAAGCCGGAGCAGCUGACAGCAAGGCCCAAGGGGUUUCCCUGCAGGAAGAGUCGAGCCCUCCCAGGAUCCUGCUGGGGCCUCCAGCACCCUUCGCUGCCAGCAAGCGCCUGCCUUUCCUUGCACCCCCAGGGGACUGCCUGCCCAGAAGGAGCAUGCACAGCCCCCACCCUCCACUAAGGGGGCAAUGGGGUGGGAGAACUGCUCCCCACUGGCACAGCAUGGGGCGCCCCUGCCAGCUGGCACCUCCCUGGGGACUGGUACUGAGGGGCUGCAGGUUAGCUGGGCUGGCUGGGAGCCCAUCCCGCCCACUGCCCCACAGCUACAUGUGCCUCCCUCAGCCCCGAGGCGCCCAGUCCUGCAGCCCUCUGUGCCCGUCCCACCUGCCCCAGCCUCCAGCACUGCCCAGCAGAAAGAGGACACCCCCGCCCUUGGCAGCUGCACCCGCUGUCUGUGCCGGGCAGGGGCUGCAGGUGCCACGUGGCCUUCACCACCACCACCUGUGCCUGGCCCACUGGGGCACUAGCAUAGCAUGGCUCAGCUGGGCUCCCACCCUGCUCCCCAAGGCUGCUUGGGAGCCUAGGGUCUGGCCCCAGAGCCUGGGCCUGCAGAGCAAAGCCUGGUGGAGACCCAUGCUGCAAGGUGGGGGGUCCUGCCAUGGUUCCCCACAGUGGGAAGCUGGAGCCCCCGACCCUGCAGGGCAGGUUCCUGCUGCUGGAGCUCCAGCUAUGAGCAGGAGCCUGGCCCAAUGA